rnacentral:lncRNA from 10 species
GUCCUGGUUUUUUUUACCUGCCAACCACAUUUCCUCCGGGGAGUUUUUCGAAUACUUUCAAAAUCUCCUCACUGAUUCACAGUGCAGAAUGUAUAUGGUACAUGGCAGCUGGGUUCCUGUGGCUUCUCCAAGCCUCCAUAUCCUAACCUUUAAAAGGGGGAUGAUAAUACUUGUCUUGAAGAUUGUUGAAAGAGCAGAUACACUGUUGGGUCAACAAUAAAUAUGACUUCGCCUACCAUAAAAUAGCCUCCCUUCUCUGCUACAAUGCCUCACUCUCAGGGUUGCCUGAGACAGGAGUUGGACCACAUGGCUUGACCCAGGAGGCAUGUUCAGGCUGAAAGAGACUGAGAGACAGAACCAGUUCCUGGUUCAGGGAUCGUGCCUAAAAUGUCCUGCAUCUAGUUCUACAGAAUGAAAUACUAGACUCUUAGAAGAGGCACAGAAUAUCAUCGUAAAUACAGCAUCCUAUGCUGCUACAUUGAAGAGGAAGAAUUUCAAGGCUCAUCAAAAUCAAAUUGCUUAGGCUUCUGUAGAUUGAUAAUAUAACACCUGGAAAUAAUUAUGUGGGGAAGAAAAACAAAAAGUACCAGAAAAGUCCUCCCAAAUAUCAUCUACUCAAUAGAUUUUGAUUCUGGACUGACAUUCUAUCUGUGGCACUUCAAGCAAUUCGACUAAAGGAAGCCCGCUUAUCUGUAUGUUAAAUGUACUAAGUCAGUGGGUGGAGUGACAUAUGGGGUCAUUCCAAUACUCUUUUCUGGUUUCUUUAAGGUCAGGGCCUAGAAUGUACCUUGAGACCUGUUCCCCAGCUUGAGAAGGAGAGGGAGCCAUAAGGAAAAACUCCAGUGGAGGGAAAGGAAGAAAAUGGCAUCUCCUAAUAGGUGUGCCAUAUUACAUGGCCUGUAUAGAAGAUCGGUGGGUCAAAGGGCAACUGAAAAACUCACUAGUAAGGGCAAAAAGGGCUUGUUUCUCUUAUAGAGUAAUUCCUGUGUAUCUUAUUUAUCUUUCACUUGUGCCACUCAUUUACAUAGAAUACCUUUGCCCAUAAGUUGGAGUAUUUUUACCCCUCAAUGUUGGCAAGUUGCAGGGUAGCUUUAUGGUAAAAGAGAGCAAAGGUGUGUCGUCCUUUGAUUCCCAAGAUUCCUAGUGGAAGUAUUUUCUUUGUUAUUCUCUGAACAAAAGAUAAAGAGGAGGCUGGACUUCGGAGUAUUUGUGAAAAUGCUAUUUCUAGCCCUCCAUCCACACAGUGCCUUUCGGUGUUCAUCUGGAGGUGAUGAAGGUGGAUGCAGGUGACUCCUCCGCUCUACCCAUGCUCACAGCCCAGCCCACUCUUCUCAAGAGUGCCCCACCAUUUCCCCAUCAAGUCCAAAGGCAGCACCAGAAGGGUAGAGUGAGCAUCCCCGAAGUCUGUGUCUUUAUUAUUUCCGUGGUCUGCUUCAAGUGUUAUCCCAUGUGCUUGGGGUAAUGUGUUUGUUUAAUUGAUGAAAACUCUAGGUGGCAGGAGGCUGGGAAGGUGGCUAGGCUUUUUCAUAUUUAUUCUCAUGGAAAACAUUCCCCUUUAUAAAUCUUUUUGCUACAAAUAGUGUUUUUUUUUCUUUUAUGUAAUUUUCUUAAUUUUUAAAAAAAUUUUUUGAGACAAGUUCUCGCUCUGUCACUCAGGCUGGAGUGAAGUGGUGUGAUCUUGGCUCACUGCAACCUCUGCCUCCUGGGGUCAAGUGGUUCUCAUACCUCAGCCUCCCAAGUAGCUAAGACUACAGCUGCGUGCCACCAUGCCUGGCUAAUUUUUGUAUUUUUAGUAGAGACGGGGUUUCGCCAUGUUGUCCAGGCUGGUCUCGAACACCUGACCUCAAGUGGUCUGCUUGCCUCGGCCUCGGAUAUGCUGGAAUUACAGGCAUGAGCCACCACGCCUGGCCGCUUUUAUGUAAUCUUGAUGUAACACCAAUCCCAUGUAGUCGGCACAAAUUAUAAAGUGUGUAAAUGACUGGUGAAAAAAUAAUGCCCUUCUCAAAGAGAAGAUAAUUCCAUUACAGGGAAUCUAGGGGCCGUUCAAUGCCAGAGGAUCCCACCCAGGAAAGCUGGUGGCUGCAGGGAUAAAAGCCAGCAGUUUGGAAAGAAACACCUAUAAGAACAUGGACCACGUAGGAGCCUAGCUUCAAGCUCCGCUUUACCAGGCUUCCCUUCCCCUUUGCUGAAUUGCAGCUCCUGAUCCUGCCUGCAUCCUACUGGCCUGUGUUACAUAAAGAUCUAGUUCUGGAAUACAGGAAAUAUGGUGGAGAUUGUUCUAUGUUAAGGUUCCAAGCCAAGUACGGGCCCAUAUCCUCAGCUAAGAUAAUUAUUGGUGGGUGAAUAAAUUAGGCUUGCCGACACUUGUCUGUUUAAGCAAAGACAGCAUUUUAAAUAUUAGAAGAAUGUCCACUUCACUCUACAGAGUCAACAUUAUUCAGCACUUCCAUUAGCUGUGGAUUACCAAAGCAGAAGACAAUUCUUAAGUUAAGAAAAUUUUAUGAGUGAAAAGACAAAUGUAAGCAAAGUGGAUACAUAUUCUGAAAGUUUUAUGUAAAAACCAAGGUGCAGGUGCAAGUAUAUGUAAUUGAUACGUAAUGCAGAGAGGCAGAAUGGGAGAGCAGAGGAGAACACGGACUCGGGAGCAAGAUGGCCUAGGUGUGGAGCAUGGCUCUGCCACUGACUACCUGGGAAACCCUGGGCAAAUUACCUGACCUCUCUGGGCCUUGCUCUCUCCUCAUCUGUACAAUGGGGCAAUGAUAGAACUUGUCUCAACGGAUUGUAGAGAGGAUUAAACACGCUAGAGCAUGUAAAGAACUUGGACACACUGCUUGACACUUAGUAAGUGUUGUGAAAGUAUUAGCUUCCUAAUGCAAGCAUUGUCUUUGCCUCUUCAUCCUCUUUUUUUUUGUACCCUUCAUCCUCCUCUUCUUUUUCCUUCUCCUCUUUCUGUCUCUUUUCCUCUUCCUCCUCGUCCUUCUUUAUUAGCAUGAUUGUACAUGCGAAAUGGCCAGGGCUGGCUAUAUAAUUUGUCGAGCACAGGACAAAAUGAAACUUCAGGGCCU